rnacentral:piRNA from 1 species
UAGCACCGCUGGGUUGGGGUCUCCAUGAC